UGCUGGGGGAUUAGUGGCGAACGGGUGAGUAACACGUGAGUAACCUGCCCUUAACUCUGGGAUAAGCCUGGGAAACUGGGUCUAAUACCGGAUAUGACUCCUCAUCGCAUGGUGGGGGGUGGAAAGCUUUAUUGUGGUUUUGGAUGGACUCGCGGCCUAUCAGCUUGUUGGUGAGGUAAUGGCUCACCAAGGCGACGACGGGUAGCCGGCCUGAGAGGGUGACCGGCCACACUGGGACUGAGACACGGCCCAGACUCCUACGGGAGGCAGCAGUGGGGAAUAUUGCACAAUGGGCGAAAGCCUGAUGCAGCGACGCCGCGUGAGGGAUGACGGCCUUCGGGUUGUAAACCUCUUUCAGUAGGGAAGAAGCGAAAGUGACGGUACCUGCAGAAGAAGCGCCGGCUAACUACGUGCCAGCAGCCGCGGUAAUACGUAGGGCGCAAGCGUUAUCCGGAAUUAUUGGGCGUAAAGAGCUCGUAGGCGGUUUGUCGCGUCUGCCGUGAAAGUCCGGGGCUCAACUCCGGAUCUGCGGUGGGUACGGGCAGACUAGAGUGAUGUAGGGGAGACUGGAAUUCCUGGUGUAGCGGUGAAAUGCGCAGAUAUCAGGAGGAACACCGAUGGCGAAGGCAGGUCUCUGGGCAUUAACUGACGCUGAGGAGCGAAAGCAUGGGGAGCGAACAGGAUUAGAUACCCUGGUAGUCCAUGCCGUANACGUUGGGCACUAGGUGUGGGGGACAUUCCACGUUUUCNGCGCCGUAGCUAACGCAUUAAGUGCCC
rnacentral:rRNA from 1 species